GUGUCAGCCGCCGCGGUAAUACAGAGGGGGCAAGCGUUGUCCGGAUUUACUGGGCGUACAGCGCGCGCAGGCGGCCGCGUAUGUGACCGGUGACAUCCUCGGGCUCAACCCGAGGCGGCCCGGUUAGACAGCGUAGCUGGAGGCAGGGAGAGGGAUGUGGAAUACCCGGUGGAGCGGUGAAAUGCGUAGAGAUCGGGUGGAACACCAGCGGCGAAGGCGGCAUCCUGGCCCUGUUCUGACGCUGAGGCGCGAUAGCGUGGGGAGCAAACGGGAUUAGAAACCCCCGUAGUCC
rnacentral:rRNA from 1 species